CCUUGUCCAGCUCCCAAGACUUCCAUCACGACUCCCCUCCUAUCUUGGGAAGUCGAAGUCCUGCUCACCUUGAAGACUCCUUGAAGACUUCGGUUUCCCUGGAAGCAUCUACUAGCAUGGAAUGCGUAAACAGAGUCCCUUCAUGGCUGCCAUGGCCACAAUGCUAUAACUCUUCUAAACUGGUUGUUUUGAAGAAGAACUUCAUCUCGGCUUUGUACCACAGAUACCCUCUGCCUGGUUUCUGAAGGUCUAUGCAGUUGACAUGGGAAAUGUGUGACCUUGAGCUCCUCUUCCACAAUUCCCUGUGGAGUAUUUCACAGGGAGAACCUUGGCUAUUAGCCAGCCUCCUCUACACAGUGACAGAACCUGCUGCUAUUCUGUGUCCCUGGCCUCUGACUCCAUACAAGGCUCGGGUCAAGAUGUUGGUGCCUUUCUGAGCACAGAGUGAAGAGCUGCACUCCCCUUAUUUUUUCUUCUUGACUCCUGGCACUUUGAUGACAUGCAGAGUCUCAGAUUAUACUUGUCAGAUCAGGGAGCAAGGGAAACUUGGAAAAGAAAAUCAAAACAAUGCUGACAUCUCUCGCCAUGAUUGAUUCAUCCCUGACAAGGGAAGAUGCGCCGCGGGUUCCAGCUGCCCACUUCU
rnacentral:lncRNA from 1 species